GAUGAACGCUGGCGGCGUGCCUAACACAUGCAAGUCGAGCGAUCUCUUCGGAGAGAGCGGCGGACGGGUGAGUAACGCGUGGGUAACCUGCCCUGUACAUACGGAUAACAUACCGAAAGGUAUACUAAUACGGGAUAACAUAUAAAAGUCGCAUGGCUUUUGUAUCAAAGCUCCGGCGGUACAGGAUGGACCCGCGUCUGAUUAGCUAGUUGGUAAGGUAAUGGCUUACCAAGGCAACGAUCAGUAGCCGACCUGAGAGGGUGAUCGGCCACACUGGAACUGAGACACGGUCCAGACUCCUACGGGAGGCAGCAGUGGGGAAUAUUGCACAAUGGGCGAAAGCCUGAUGCAGCAACGCCGCGUGAGCGAUGAAGGCCUUCGGGUCGUAAAGCUCUGUCCUCAAGGAAGAUAAUGACGGUGCUUGAGGAGGAAGCCCCGGCUAACUACGUGCCAGCAGCCGCAGUAAGAC
rnacentral:rRNA from 1 species